rnacentral:rRNA from 1 species
GUGGGGAAUCUUCCGCAAUGGACGAAAGUCUGACGGAGCAACGCCGCGUGAGUGAUGAAGGUCUUCGGAUUGUAAAGCUCUGUUAAUCGGGACGAAAGAGCCUAGUGUGAAUAAUGCUAGGAAGUGACGGUACCGGAAUAGAAAGCCACGACUAACUACGUGCCAGCAGCCGCGGUAAUCCGUAGGUGGCAAGCGUUGUCCGGAAUUAUUGGGCGUAAAGCGCGCGCAGGCGGAUCUGCCAGUCAGUCUUAAAAGUUCGGGGCUUAACCCCGUGAUGGGAUGGAAACUACAGAUCUAGAGUAUCGGAGAGGAAAGUGGAAUUCCUAGUGUAGCGGUGAAAUGCGUAGAUAUUAGGAAGAACACCAGUGGCGAAGGCGACUUUCUGGACGAAAACUGACGCUGAGGCGCGAAAGCCAGGGGAGCGAACGGGAUUAGAAACCCGGGUAGUCC